UGUGUAGUUUGUACGUCUCCAUUAAACAUGACAAUAGAUUAGAAAUAAUUUGUUUUAACUUUUGUACGGCUCUUUGUAGGCGGACGUUUUACUGGCAUCCAGUAGUCGCUUUCAGUCCAAAAUGGCAGAAGCGUAGCUCUGCUGCUGGGCGCUGAUGUUGCAAUGGAACGAGCAACUGACUUUAACUUCUUAGCAGUAUACGUUCUUUGGCUAAACUGCAGUUUGCUGUGUAACUCUUCACGUUAAUUGUUUAACGCUUCCUCUGAGCAGAAACGGUCAGUCCUGCGGUGUGUUUAGUUCUGUUGGCCAAACACACCGAAGGACUCUGCUGCCCACCGGCUGCUAACAGCUCACUAGCUCUCCUCUUAGCACACGAGAAGACGAGCUCCAUGGCAGCCAGCGCUCGGCUCAGUUUCAUUUGCUUAGCGAGUUACCAUAUAGCCUACGUACAGUUGUCAUACCCUGAUCACUUACUGCCCCUACCCUUGGGUUAAGAGUAGUGAGGAGUCAGCAGUCAAUGAUGGUAUAAAAAACAUGUUUUCAUAAAGUGUGAAUCAUUGCAGCCACGAGAGGUCCUUGACCAUACAGUCACACAUGAGCACAAAAAUGUUAAACUGAAUGGUACAGCAGUAUGCAGAGAUUAGCCGUGGACAGACAGACAGACGCACAGAGAGAGAGAUGCAUACACAUGACCAAAUAUAUAAUUUUCUGGCGGAGAUAAUAAUAAUAAUAAAAGCAGUUUGGUGCUGGCAGCAGUGUCAGUGAGGUCACGGUGUAGUGAAGCCUCGGCUGUGCUUAUUGGAGCAGAAAACCGAGAGGGAGGGGCCUGUGACAUCACUGACACCUGCUCCUGCAAUGCACUUAUUACAGAGGUGAUCAUUUCAAUUAUGAUGAAUGUACUGUAUGUAUUUUAUUACACCACCAUCCAUAGGAAGCAGUGGUGUUAGACAGAAUGAUAUCAGCGUGUUAAUCUGCUGUGUGUUAAUCUGCUGUGUGUGUGUGUGUGUGAGUGUAUGUGCGUGGGUGUUUGUGUGUGUUGUGUAACGUUGCCAGUGAACACUGUGUUCAGACAGGCAGGAUCACUGCAUCUGUUUACAGCGACCUGCAGAUUAGAUCAGACCUCACACUUCAAAUAGAGACUAAUCCAAUGCACACACACACACACACACACACACGUACACACACACACACACACACACACACACAGAGUCCUGCGGGAACAUUAAAGUCGGCGACAUAAUCCAUCGAGUUCAAAUGGAAACACUUAGAGUCAGAGUUGUAAUCAUGGAGAUGGUGUGUUUGUGUGUGUGUGUGUGUGUGUGUGUGUGUGUGUGUACAUGCUACCAACAACACACACUCCCUCUCAGUCCCAGUUUCUAUGCUCUCAUUAGUUUACUUGUUUUUCCUGCCCUGCUGGAUGUAAAACCAAAAUAGAGACGUUGGUCAAUUUGUGUCUAACAGCGGUCUAAAGUAAUUAAGUACAUUUACUCAAGUACUGAACAUCAUUGGAGG